GUUAUACUGCUGUUGCUGCAUAGGUACAUGGUAUGAGAAUCAUGUUCUUUAUCUUUGAGAAAAUGAGUUAAAGGCUUGCUUCUUCACUUAACUGCAACACAGUUUACGGAUUCAGAUUUCACAUUUUGCUAAGUAUAAAUGACAUAUCUUAAGACUAAUGAAAACUUUCAUGUUUUACUUGUAUUUAUUAUGGUAACUUUUCUUUUCAUAGCCAUGUUCACUGCCCACUUCCCAUGAGAUUUCUCCAGUGUCCCCCAGACCUGACUGGAAAAAGUCACUAUCUUGAUGAAGCAGAUGUAUUUUACCUAAAUCCCUUAAACUGGUUACAUAGAGAGUUUCAUGAUGAUGCAUCAUUGCCUACUCACUUGAUCACCUUCAGCAUUUUGGAAGAGGAAAUAAGCGCUUUCCUAAUUUCAAGCAAUUAUAACAGAACUGCUGUUUUCUUCCACACUCACUUGCCGGAGGGUCGAAUUGGAAGUCACGUAUAUGUCUAUGAACGGAAGUUAAAAGGGAAAUUCAACACGAAGAUGAAAUUCUGAACUUUCCGAGAUAAAUUAACUUUGCUGGGUGGAAAUAUUCAGAUGCUGCUUAAAUACUUCGGUAAACACUGGGUAAGAUUCAUGGAACUUAGAAAAAAGCUGUAUGAACUGCUUUACCAAAUAUCACUACUGAGGAAAUGUAUAAAAUACCACAUAGUAUAAAAUUACAUGUUAAUACAAUGCUAGAUUUUAAAUAAAGACCUUUAGUUUUC
rnacentral:sRNA from 1 species